GAAAAAUAUUCUGAGGAUAAUUCAAACCAUCGUUAGAAUGGUUCAAAUAUGCAUAUGCAUUUCAAAGUAUAUGAGUAUCAGGCAUUAUUUACAUAUGCAUACGCUUGUAUGUAUAAUAUUGAUUUUAAUAAAAAAAACUGAAAACCGUGCAAAAAGCAACUGAAGUUUGCAAAAGACCGAACUUAGAGAGUAAUGCAGCUAUUAAUUAAGAGUAAUAAAUAACUAAAUACUUUGAUUCUAUGGGAUUCUGUUACUUAUGUAUAAUAGAAACAUAGAACUUUUAUAUUAAAAAAAAAAUUUUCAUGAAAUGGUUGAACUAUUUUUAACCGUCGCCUGUCAAGUAUUGAUUAAACUAGUGUAUACGCAUUUUUUCAUUUUGAGGUGAAAAAGCCGAUAAAUUCGUGAAUCAAAUAUGUUUGUACAUAUAAAGAAAAAUAGUUUUGACACUAUGCGUAUAAUAUUUUUUUAAUGUGUGUGUGUUAUCCGCAUCUACGUCGGGAGCAACAACCAUUCGUAAAUAUGCAGAACCAAUUGAAAAGCGGGUGCCGCCCGAAGUCAAAAUCGAAUAAAAUAACAACAACUUGAUCACUAGAGUGUUUAGAGUUCUUCAAUCCUCAAGAAUCAUUAAUCUAACAAAUAUUUCUGGGCGAAACGUUAAAAUGGAUUUGGAAAAGGAGAUAGCGGAUUGUUAGCGAAAAAAUCAAAAAGCAUCAAGGUCAAAAAAGUAAUACAAUAGUAUUAUCAAAACAUAUAUAUGCUCCGAAUCGGAACAUGUAGCUGAGUUAAAAUUGACACGCGACAAGUAAACGAUUUAAUUAAUAGUAAAUUGUAAGUGCAUUAUCUGUUCGCAUAUACUUAUGUAUAUGAUAAGCAUGAGUAUAUGUAUGUAUAUAAUAGAAGGUAAAUUCUCUGACAUACAUAUUUGUGUAUGUUUUUUUUUUUUGAUAUUUGUUUACUAUUUUACUCCUGAAGUUUGACAAACGAUACAUAUAUAGCAUGUAUCUGGCAUCAAUUCAGUUUGGCGGUGAGAAAAACUUCAAAGUAAUAAUAUCCGUAAUAUUGUCGAUCUCGAUAUGUGAUUUAAAACAGUUUUAGGUAUACCUAAAAUUAAUUAGUUUUGGUUUGAAUGUUUGAUGGUAAACUAUUUUCAAUCACAAUUAUUUCCUUUAAAUUGAAAACAAGAAUUUGUAUGGUAUAAAGUAACAAAAAUUAGACUAGUACAUAUCCACGAGAAUAUUGAAAAUAUGUUUAAUUAAUAAUAAUAUUAGUAAUUUGUUUUACAUAUCUUAGAUCAGUUUUAUCUUUUUUAAUUACACUAAUCACAAAUUACUGUAAGACCGACAGAUAACUUCAAUGUAUACUUUUAUAUAAAUAGUAGUAGUAAGUAGUUUAUAACUACAAUAUUUGAUUUGGGGUAGUUUAUUACUAUAACUUCCGGGGAAAAUAUAUUAUAUAAAUUAAUACUUCAAUAAAUAUUUAAAACUAAGAAAAUCAAUACUUUGACAUCAUUUUAAUAACUUUUUUAAAUAAAAAUGUCUUAUUCUUUAAAUACUCUAAAUGUAUCCUCGUACAAGUUACAUAUAGUGUAAUUAGUUAAGUAUUAAUAGUUAUUUUCUUGGGUAUGAAAGUGUACCCAGUGUUCGGUAAAUAAUAUGAAAUCUAUGAUAUAAACCAUCAAAAUCUAAAAAUAUAUUGGGCGGUUUACAAGUAGGUGUAACCAUAAUGUUUUUGUUUCAACUGAAAGACAGAUAGUUCGGAUAUUAAAUAAACAUAACAUCCAAUGUUAGGUAGUUGGGUAAGUAGGAAGAGUGGAUGUCUGACGACGCACCUAGGCCCAUAGGAGGUCCAUUGUGAUACCACCGGGACUAAUAUUCCUUCUCUCUAUUGUCUCCUCUCUGAACCACCACGUGCUUCUGAUAAAGUUCAUCACUAUAAAUAGUUUUAUAUGAGCAACUUCCGAUACGUCGUUAAGGAACCCUCGACCGAUAGCUGUUUUAUCGUCUCCUUUUCUUCUAACUCCUGAAAGCUUUUAAAAUAGUCGCUAAAGGUACACCUAGGCAAUUUUAAUAGUCGGUUUGUGCAGCUCAUGCUCCAUUACUGCCACGUUUGCCUACUAGUUGAGUAAAUUAGAGAUUGUCUCCUAGACUAAUAAUAUAUUCCAAACUUUCUUAUGGGAAAUAAAAUGUAGCAAAACAGCGAAGAAAAAUGGAUUUUUAUCGAACUAUAUAUAUUCUUUAAAUUUUAAAAUUGUACAAAUGAAUAUUAGAAA